rnacentral:tmRNA from 1 species
UUGGACGGUGUAAAAACAACACCAACAAAAACAGGAAGUUAGAAGUCUCAGCAGGACACCGACCAGACGGUGAGGNCCUGCCUGGGGUUGAAGCGUUAAAACUUAAUCAGGCUAGUUUGUUAGUGGCGUGUCCGUCCGCAGCUGGCAAGCGAAUGUAAAGACUGACUAAGCAUGUAGUACCGAGGAUGUAGGAAUUUCGGACGCGGGUUCAACUCCCGCCAGCUCCACCA